rnacentral:lncRNA from 1 species
GGGAAAAGGCAUUAUUAUGAAAACUACUGUUAAACUCAAGACUCCUUUAGCAGGCUUUGGAGAUGCCCAGAGACACACAGAGCACCCUGAGGGCUGCCUUGCUGUGUUCAUUAGCUGGCUCAACAAAAGGGAAGAGAUUCUGUCCUGCUCCCUGCAGGUUCCCUAUCCACAGAUUCAACAAACCCUGCUGUAACCUUUGGAAAUAUUUGAAAUAAAAGCAAAACAAGUGUAUUG